rnacentral:rRNA from 1 species
GACGAACGCUGGCGGCGUGCUUAACACAUGCAAGUCGAGCGGAAAGGCCACUUCGGUGGUACUCGAGCGGCGAACGGGUGCGUAACACGUGAGUAAUCUGCCCCUCACUUUGGGAUAGCCACCGGAAACGGUGAUUAAUACCGGAUAUGACCAUAUGUCGCAUGGCGUGUGGUGGAAAGUUUUUCGGUGAGGGAUGUGCUCGCGGCCUAUCAGCUUGAUGGUGAGGUAAUGGCUCACCAUGGCUUCGACGGGUAGCCGGCCUGAGAGGGUGACCGGUCACACUGGGACUGAGACACGGCCCAGACUCCUACGGGAGGCAACAGUGGGGAAUAUUGGACAAUGGGCGGAGGCCUGAUCCAGCAACGCCGCGUGAGGGAUGACGGCCUUCGGGUUGUAAACCUCUUUCAGUACCGACGAAGCGCAAGUGACGGUAGGUACAGAAGAAGCACCGGCCAACUACGU